CCCACUUCUCGGUCUUUUGACUGAGAUCAAGUGUAGUGUUUGCUCUUAUCAGUUUACUAUUUAGUACGUCCUCCAUUUAAGGACAGUAAAUCAAAUGGAGUUUUGGGCCUGGGAGAUGGAAUAGGAGCUUGCUCCAUUUACUCUAUGCUUUGACUUGGUGUUGUAGUAAGAAACAAACAAACAAACAAAA